GAUGAACGCUGGCGGCGUGCCUAAUACAUGCAAGUCGAGCGAACAGACGAGGAGCUUGCUCCUUUGACGUUAGCGGCGGACGGGUGAGUAACACGUGGGUAACCUACCUAUAAGACUGGGAUAACUUCGGGAAACCGGAGCUAAUACCGGAUAAUAUUUCGAACCGCAUGGUUCGAUAGUGAAAGAUGGCUUUGCUAUCACUUAUAGAUGGACCUGCGCCGUAUUAGCUAGUUGGUAAGGUAACGGCUUACCAAGGCAACGAUACGUAGCCGACCUGAGAGGGCGAUCGGCCGCACUGGAACUGAGACACGGUCCAGACUCCUACGGGAGGCAGCAGUAGGGAAUCUUCCGCAAUGGGCGAAAGCCUGACGGAGCAACGCCGCGUGAGUGAUGAAGGUCUUCGGAUCGUAAAACUCUGUUAUUAGGGAAGAACAAACGUGUAAGUAACUGUGCACGUCUUGACGGUACCUAAUCAGAAAGCCACGGCUAACUACGUG
rnacentral:rRNA from 1 species